GGCAAGAUGGCCGAGCGGUCUAAGGCGCUGUCUUCAGGAUUCCCACAAUGUGGACAGUUUCAUCACCUUGUGAUGCUAUACAGCAUGUGAGGACCCCUGGCAGUCCGAAAGGGCGUGGGUUCGAAUCCCACUCUUGUCA